GACGAACGCUGGCGGCGUGCUUAACACAUGCAAGUCGAACGGAAAGGCCCUGCUUUUGUGGGGUGCUCGAGUGGCGAACGGGUGAGUAACACGUGAGUAACCUGCCCUUGACUUUGGGAUAACUUCAGGAAACUGGGGCUAAUACCGGAUAGGAGCUCCUGCUGCAUGGUGGGGGUUGGAAAGUUUCGGCGGUUGGGGAUGGACUCGCGGCUUAUCAGCUUGUUGGUGGGGUAGUGGCUUACCAAGGCUUUGACGGGUAGCCGGCCUGAGAGGGUGACCGGCCACAUUGGGACUGAGAUACGGCCCGGACUCCUACGGGAGGCAGCAGUGGGGAAUAUUGCACAAUGGGCGGAAGCCUGAUGCAGCAACGCCGCGUGCGGGAUGACGGCCUACGGGUUGUAAACCGCUUUCGCCUGUGACGAAGCGUGAGUGACGGUAAUGGGUAAAGAAGCACCGGCUAACUACGUG
rnacentral:rRNA from 1 species